GAUAAUGAUUGUUCGCAUUGCUAUAAUAUAUUGGUUGAUUGUUUGAUGAUUGAUAUUGUGAUCGAUCACUACUAUUAUUGCUAAUACUACUACAAAUAAUACUAUAAAAAAAAAUAACGACGAAAAGGACAACAGACGAAUAUUGCAGGGAAUAUAUGUACAAUGAUUACCUUGUUUUUUGUUGUUCAAUGAGCUAAAAGUCGUAUUCUAACUUUUUUCUGAUGCGUAGGAUCAGAAAAAACACGUGUAAAUAGUUAUACAUAUGGUAAUAUAUUAACGACGCGCAACUGCUUGUUGAAGAUACAUAAUAUUUGUGUGUGACACGAUAGGUGUAAAAUAUAAAUAUAUAUAAUAUACAUAAUUGAGUGAGUGAAAAACAGAGUGAAUGUGUCUUAAUUUAUUAAUGCGAUAACAUAGCAUAAAUAAAUGGUAAAUGUUUGAAUGAUAAUACGCUAUGGCGCCGUUUCUUUCACUUAAAUUAACACAAAUUGUAUAAAAGUACUUAUAAAACGAUUUGAUUUUGAAAUUUUUAGCUGAUGUUGCGAUUGAACAGUCUAUAAAAGUAGUGUACGUAUAACAUGGUAUGAGUGUAGCUCAGUGUGAUAACGCGCGGAAGAGUUGACAUAAUGACGAUUUACACAAACUCACAGACGAUACUCUAAGAAAAUUAAUGAAGUCUAUUGGCACGUACUAAAAAAAAAAAUAUAACUUUAUACAUACGAAGAUCACUUUUAUCGUAGAGAUGUUUUUGUAUAGAUUAAUUAUAGGAGCGUACUUAUAACACGGCGACUAGUCACAAAAAUUGAGCGCAUCAUCUUCGCCGAUUUUCUGUGAAGCGUCUACGAAAAACGAUCAAGAAAGAAAGUACAUUAAUGAUUACGACUAAUUAUAAAUUUUAGAUGAGUGAAAAGUAAGAAUGAAGAGAAACGAGGGAAAUUUAUAUUUAGAUAUUUUUUUUUGUAAAUUUUUUUGUACGAAUCAACUCAACAUUAAAAACAAAUAAAAAUCAUGAUAAGUUGAUACAUUCAGUAUUAUGAUUCGUCGUGCAAGCGCGACAAUACUCAUAAAAAAAAACCAACAACGUCUAAUGGAUUUGUUCAUAUCACAAUGGUCGGUACACGGAAAAACUCGUAGAACUACAAAUAUCUAAAUAGUAACGAUAUCUUGAUGAUCCUAGUACUUUAUGACUUUAUUAUUACAAAAAAACUGGAUGAUGACUUAGUAUGAUUAGCGUUUACUACUAUUUUUAAUUAUUAGAUUACUAUAAUAAAGAUUUAUAAUUUUUUUGAAGAGAUAAACAGAAUGAAAAAAUAAACAAUGCUUUUGUGAGUAAAAAAUAAAUCUGUAUUACGCGUGUCACUUUUCAUUGAUCGAACAAUCACAACAACUUUCCUCAUUUUCUAAUUAAUAUUUAUAAUAUUACGAUAAUAAGUGUCACUGAUCCCCCACGAAAAUGCUCUCUUCUUUUUUCCUAAAAACCGUUCAUUUCACAUCUCACACACAUACACAUUCUUUAACCUUGUUAUCAAAUUAAAAAAAAAUAACUGCAAUUAUAUGCGUUUGCGAACAAAUCGAAAAACGAAAAAAAAAAAAUAGAUAAAGCGCUUGCUCCUCGCUCUCGAAAUCCUCUUGCUCUUGUUCAACGCCACUACUUACGUCGCCGUAGCCGUCUCAGCCGCUUCGCUUCGCAAACAAUGCCGAGUCUCCGACAGCGCAUUGACUCUCUGCCUUCGAUACGAUCCCCGAUAUCAAGCCUAAUUAACGCGGACGAUGAAAGUUAUUAUCUAACGUAAUCAUCAGAGUACCAUCGUCAUCGGAGUUUUGGGUUAUCUUUGUUCAACUUCAUGGUGAUAUGCAAUUGUACGAGCAAACACAUCCAAGGAGUUCAGUCAAAAUCAUUCUUCUUAACGUUCAGCAACUUCAAACAUUCCAAUGUAUAAUACUGUUUCCUUUCCUCUCCUAUUCUUUUAUAAAUUUUGUGUACAUAUACACAUGCGUAUGAAUAUAGAUAGACAAAAAAAUAUAUAGAUGUACGUAGUUGACUAAAAUAAUAAAGGUGAAAUUUGCCUUCUUUGAAAACAGAGCUUUUAAGGCUGUUAAGUAGAAAAAAAAAGUUCUACGCAGCAGAUAAUGUAAACGAAUUUUUUAUGCUGAGAAAGCAUAAUAGGGUAAAUCAUAAGUAUUUCUUAAUGAUAAGGAUGAAAGAAAAUAGAAUAUUUAUAUGAUAAAAAUUCUUACUGAUGUUUGUUUAAUAAAUUUUUUUUGUUUAUCAAAAA